rnacentral:rRNA from 1 species
GGCGGCAGCUAGUUCUCUGCAACACUCACAUGGUCGCCCACUGAAACUAAGCAGGGCUGUGCCUGGUCAAUACCUGGAAGUGAGACCACAUAGGAAAGCUAGGUUGCUGCUGGAA